UUCGCAAUGCCCGAAAGGGUGACGAAGCGACGCCGCGUGCGGGAAGAAGGCCUUCGGGUUGUAAACCGCUGUCGGGAGUUAAGAAAUGUAAGGAUGUUAAUAGCAUCUUUGCUUGACUAAGGCUCCGGAGGAAGCCACGGCUAACUCUGUGCCAGCAGCCGCGGUAAUACAGAGGCGGCAAGCGUUGUUCGGAAUUAUUGGGCGUAAAGAGCACGUAGGCGGCUAUGUAAGUCGGUUGUGAAAGCCUUCCGCUCAACGGGAGAACAGCAUCCGAUACUGCAUGGCUUGAGUGCGGGAGGGGAGAGUGGAACUUCUGGUGGAGCGGUGAAAUGCGUAGAUAUCAGAAGGAACGCCGGCGGCGAAAGCGGCUCUCUGGCCCAUAACUGACGCUGAGUGCGCGAAAGCUAGGGGAGCAAACGGGAUUAGAUACCCCGGUAGUCCUAGCCGUAAACGAUGGGCACUAAGUAGAGGGGUUUU
rnacentral:rRNA from 1 species